UGAUUACCUGGACAGUUUCUGAGCAAUUCCUAACUUCAGCUUAAGUUAGCAGGAGAGAAGUACAGCAGGUUUACAGCCUUACAGAACAGAACCUGGAGGACUACAUGAUUUACCAGCGACAGGUUUUUUGUUUGUUUUUGUCAAGUACUGAUGGAUCCUUCUGUGGGGAGAAGAGUUUACUCAUGAGAAGAGCUGUAUUCACUGACAUGGAGCAAAUCUGGAAGAUCCUGCCCUAUUCCAUCUGAGAUAAAGAGGUGUUUUUGGACUUGGAAGUGGAGAUAUAAGCCAUUUCUGCCAACAGUCAUCAUGGGAAAUGUCAACUCUGAAGACCCUUGAAGACUCACACUAAUGCGCACAUUGGGCAACAAGGGCUCUCCAUCAGUCACAGUCAGCCAUGAGGUCUUCAGCUUCCUCUAAGAGAUGUUGGGUGUUUUGAGGUCGUUGAUAAAAGUCCGACGCCGGGUCAGUCGUGGCUGGCCUCUGCCUGGUCUGCCUCCAGGUGGAACCCAUCAAAAUAUCUUCUUCAGGAUUCGCCUGUUGUCCAUGUGGAUGAUGUGUCCAACAAGUUUCAGGCGGCAGCUUGCAAUAAUGAUGCUGAAGCUGGGCAGUUUGUUUUGUUGUAACACCUCUUUGUUGGUGAUGUGGCCAAAGUAUCAGACCUUCAGUAUUCUUCUGAGGCAGCGUUGAUGAAAGACGCCUACCUUUCGGGUAAUACUGGCCGAUGCUUUCCACAUUUCUGAGGCGUAAACUGCCAUUGGGAUGAUUGAGGCGUAGCAUUGAAGCUUGAUGUUAGUUUGGUAGCAGAAAAACAGGGUUAUAUAAGAAAUUCAUUACCUCAAAGGUAAUGUGAACAGAUUGAGAUAGCUUGAUUCAAAAUGCUGGUGUGACCAAGUUGUAGUAACUAGUGAAGAGGACAAACACGAGGCAAGUGAUAUGUGCUUAAAAAAAGCUGUUUUAUCCCAUUUUAUCCUGUGACAUUCCUGGAUUAGGGCAUCACGUGCACCAAAAUGAAACUCUAUCCUGCCAAAUUCACCUGCAUGUGUUAAUGUAAACAAGGCCUUAGUCUUGGUGACAGAACUUUGAGAGGCGAAAUUUAAAACCCAUUCUCCAGUCACUGAUACCAGAACGCAGACAAACCCAAAUCACAGGAGUCACAUACCUGGUUCAAACCCUCCUAAACCCUGACAGAACAGUAAUGGUAGAAGUUAUUUCAGAUCAACUGGAGUGUUGCCACAGUGAGAGGAAAAGGGUUUAAAAGGGUUUGGAAAGAGGGUUUGAUCCACUUUUGUCUGGUAAUGCAAUUUUGUACCUGAGAUGAACAAAUUGCUGAAAACUUCAUAAAAGUUGGAUGGAUGUCUGAUAAAAAUAAAACAUGAGAGGUAAUCAUUUUCAAAAUACAUCAACAAUGACACCAAAGGAAAAUUUACAGAACAUAUCAAUACUUCAAGCAAAGAAAAAAGGUGAAGCAAGGGUGGAGGGCAGAGGACACCCUUCAUAAGUUCCACUGAAGAGGGAAGAGUUCAGAAUCAGACAUGGACAAAAGCCCAACUGCUGCCGACUGGAGCGAGUGUGCACUUACUUUAUUACAGCUUAUGAGAGCAGUCGGGUCUUGAGUCUCAAAAACCUUUAAGUGUGUUAAUAUGCAUCUUUAUUUAGCACUGGUGCAGGGUCAAUGUGGGUGUGUGGGUGUAAUGUUUGUAUUACUGGCUUUGUUUUGCUUGUUCUUGGUGUGUUCUACAUAA